rnacentral:ncRNA from 2 species
UAUAAAAACUAGGGGCGCAAAUUUGCUGAGACGGUUUUACCGAACCCUUUGAACCUGUAAGGCAACCCUUGCGUAGGAAAGUUAACUGUUUUAAAG